rnacentral:rRNA from 1 species
CCUACGGGGGGCAGCAGUGAGGAAUAUUGGUCAAUGGGCGGAAGCCUGAACCAGCCACGUAGCGUGCAGGAUGACGGCCCUACGGGUUGUAAACUGCUUUUAUACGGGAAUAACGCGCCUUACGUGUAGGGCUUUGCAUGUACCGUAUGAAUAAGGACCGGCUAAUUCCGUGCCAGCAGCCGCGGUAAUACGGAAGGUCCGGGCGUUAUCCGGAUUUAUUGGGUUUAAAGGGAGCGUAGGCCGCAUGUCAAGCGUGCUGUGAAAUGUCCGGGCUCAACCCGGGCCUUGCAGCGCGAACUGGCGUGCUUGAGUCCGGGGAAGGCAGGCGGAAUUCGUCGUGUAGCGGUGAAAUGCGUAGAUAUGACGAAGAACCCCGAUUGCGAAGGCAGCUUGCUGGAGCGGAACUGACGCUGAUGCGCGAAAGCGCGGGGAUCGAACAGGAUUAGAUACCCUAGUAGUC